UAAUCUAUAUGAUGUUAAACAUUCUUAAUACUAUUUGAUGCUUUGAAAAUAAUUACUGUCUUUCAAACUACUCUGAAUAUCCAAUAUCUCUAGCGUGCAUUUUGAUACUUUAUUAUAUUCAGUUUAACACUUUAUGCAUACUUCUGGAUAGUGAGCUUUUGGAGGAUAAUAUCUAUAGUCCUUGUCUCUGUAUCUUAGCCCAGUAUAUAACAUGAUAUACGUUUGCUGAAAGAAUGAAUAUUAUAUCAUGGGUGUAAUCUUCUCCAUAAGGUUAUCCAGGGACCAUGUAAAGCAUAUAAGUCAUGUCUUCUUUAAUCCCCCAUUAUACUGAUUCAGUGCUUUGUACUUGGUAGGUGAUAUUCCUGUAAACUUGAAAUGUGAGAAGUAGCAAUGGGUUAUUUUCAUAACCUACUUAAUGCCUACUUGUUUUAAAUGGAGAAUGAAUCUUGUAAUUUUAAAAGUCCUUAAAUAUACCAAAAUGCUUUCUGUCCUACAAAAUGUACAUCAUUUCCCAUUAUCAUUACUGUCUUAAUUGAUAUAUUUCUCCUAUUCCUUUUUACUGGUAAAAAGGAAGAAGACAAUGGAAUAUAUGUGUCUGCUUACAGUAUUCUUUUAGGGGUAUCUGAUAGGAAAAAUGAAAAGUGGUAGCUUUUGAAAAAAUUUCUUUUAAGAGAAAUAUUUUAGGGAAGAGGAACAAGUAUACUGUACUGUAUAGUAGUACAAAGGGGGGGGGCAGUCCUGGAGUGUUGAAAGUUAGUCAUUGAAAUAUUAUCCAAAUCUCUUCAUUUGGUUUUUCUUUCCCACUUCUGUCUUCUGUGAGAAAGGGAGAUAGAAUAGGACAAAGAACCAAACAGGUCACUUUUUUUCUUUAUUGCCCCGUUAUUCCUGAGCCAAUAGGUGUAAUUGAAAGGUGACAGGGUAGAAGCUCCCUAAUUCCAGAAGUGUAAUUCCGCCUUCUCAUUGUAACAUGAGUAUUUUGUAAGUUGGCUAAGCAAAUUCAGGUAUGUUGGCUGCUUACUGCUCCAGGCCCAUCUCACACUGAGAGGGGAGAGAGAUAAACCCAUGGAGAACAGGUUACUGAGCGUUGUUGGUCACCAAGAGAGGUCCUGAUACUCCGGGGCAAGUGUGUAAGGAACGUUAAAGAUUCUCUAGGACUGAGACCGGAGUGCUUUAUGACAAGUCUUUAUAUGAGCAUGUCAUUCCUUCAUCUCCCUAGUGAUGAAGAAGAGUAAUUAUAAGAAACACAAGGUGAGGGAGUAAAGCUGUAUUGCAGGGAUAUUGCUGGCACCCCUUGCCUGAUUCCUUUAUCGUUUUUUAGGAGCACAUUAGCCCUCUGCUGAACUCUUUCCCUGGCCACACAAUUCCCAAAUAGUAAAGGUCAUUUUAAGUAUUCAUGUGGGACAGUUUUUUCUUCUGUAAUUUUUUUUUAACAUCUUUAUUGGGGUAUAAUUGCUUUACAAGGGUGUGUUAGUUUCUGCUUUAUAACAAAGUGAAUCAGUUAUACAUAUGUUCCCAUAUCUCUUCCCUCUUGCGUCUCCCUCCCUCCCACCCUCCCUAUCCCACCCCUCCAGGCAGUCACAAAGCACCCAGCCGAUAUCCCUGUUCCAUGCGGCUGCUUCCCACUAGCUAUCUACCUUACGUUUGGUAGUGUGUAUAUGUCCAUGACUCUCUCUCGCCCUGUCACAGCUCACCCUUCCCCCUCCCCAUAUCCUCAAGUCCGUUCUCCAGUAGGUCUGUGUCUUUAUUCCUGUCUUACCCCUUGUAAUUUUUUUAAUGACACAUUUUAUUUGUAUUGUCACCUCCCUUGAUCACGAGCCCCUAGAAAUCAGGGAUCCAAUUCAUUUCACUAACAUUGGUUUAGAUACUUAGGAUUAGCAGUGAACAAACCACACAAAAAUCCCUAUCCUUAGGGCGUUUACUUUCCAGUUCAAGGCGACAGACAAAGUUUAAGAAGGGGGGAAAAGUGUAUAUGUAUGACGGUAAGUGCUAUGUCAGAAACAAAACGGGGAAGAGAAAUAGGGAGUGUGCUGAGAGGGAGAAGGGGGAGGUUGCAGUGCAGUUGUGAAAGGGUAAUCAGAGAAGACCUCACCAAAAAGAUGAGUCAAGAGCUGAAGAUGGUGAGGGAUAAGAGAAUUGCAGGCAAAGGAAAUAGCAAAUGAAAAGACCUGGGGCAGGGGCAUGCUCAGUGUUUGCCGAAACCAGCAAGGGCCCGGAGAAGGUGGGGCAGAGAAAGCAGCAAUUAGAACAGCAAGAGGCAAAGUCAAGAAGAUGACAGCUGAACAGGUCACGUAGGGCCGCGUAGUGUGUGGAGUGCCUUGUGAGGAGUUUGGGUAGUACUCUAAGUAAGAUGGAAGCCACCGGAGGGUUUUUUAGCCAAAGAAUGAUAGGUUUAUGACCUGUUUGAGAAUUUCUGAUUACCAUUAGGAAAAAGACUUGGGGGGGAGGGGAGAGGGAGCCAGGCUAGAGAUACUGAUGACUCCAACCUGGAUGGCAUUAGUGUAGAUGGUAAGAAACGAUCAGAUUCUGGUUCAAGGUAGCCAAUAAGAUUUGCUCAUAGAUCUAACUAUGUGGUGUAAAAAGGAGUCAAAGUUUGGCGCCUGAGCAAACUAGAAGCCUGGAGUUGUAGUUAAUUAAGGUGAGGAACCUGGGGGCAGCGGGUGGGGGGUGGUGGCGUUCAGCAGGACUGGAGACAGAUGAAGAGCCUCGCUUUUGACAGGUUAAGUUGGAAGUGCCUGUUAAGCAUCCAGAUGGAGGCGUCAGAGCAGUGGACAUCCGGACCUGGAAUUCAGGAGUGAGUUCUGGGCCAGGCACAACAUUUGGGAUUCAUGAGUGGAUAGGUGAUAUUUACAGCUGUGGGACUGGAUGAGAUCAUCAAGGAAAUGAGUGCUGCUAGAGAAGAAAGAAGUCUGGGCACUCCAACAUUAAGAAGCUGAGGACAGACACGAGGAAUCAGCAAAGGAACCCAGGAAGGAGCAAUCAGGAAGUAAAAAGGAGAAGCCUUGGAGAGCGUGGGGACCUGAAAAGGAGGUGAAAAGUUUCACGGAGGUGGGAAUGAUCUACAGCUUCAGAUGCGACUGAUGAGCCACGUAAGGUGCAGAUGUGGACCGGAAUGGCCAUUUUAUUGCAACUGACUGAUGGCAAGCAUCGUUUUGUUGGAGUGGCGAGAUCAAAAGCUCUGUUGGAGUAGGUGCCAAAGGGGAAGACUGGGUGUUAGGAUGCCAAAAGCCCACAACCUGAGAACACUCCAGUGGGGACAUCUGAAGAGAAACAGCAAAAGCACCGUCCUUCUGCACUUGGUUGUGGGUUCUGUUUGUUGACGGAGGAUGUUGAUGGUUGAUUUAGGACAGGGCACUGUGAUGUGGAGAAAACGUCCAUCCCAUUUAAGCUUUGGGAAAAGGUUUACUCCUUUGAGCUGGGGCUAAAGAUACUGUAUUGCCUGCUCUCCUAAUUCUGGAAGGAUAAAGAGAUCAAUAAAAAGUUUCCUCGGAUUCUGUAAGUCA